rnacentral:rRNA from 1 species
CACAAGCAGCGGAGCGUGUGGUUUAAUUCGAGGCUACGCGAAGAACCUUACCUGGGUUUGACAUAUGGGUGGUAGGGAACCGAAAGGGACCGACCUUCGGGAGCCCAUACAGGUGCUGCAUGGCUGUCGUCAGCUCGUGCCGUGAGGUGUUCGGUUAAGUCCGGUAACGAGCGCAACCCUCGUCGUCAGUUACAAGUGUCUGACGAGACUGCCCGUGAUAAGCGGGAGGAAGGUGGGGAUGACGUCAAGUCAGCAUGGCCUUUAUAUCCAGGGCUACACACACGCUACAAUGGUCUGUACAAUGGGUAGCCAAGCCGCGAGGCGGAGCCAAUCCUGAAAGCAGGCCUCAGUUCAGAUUGCAGUCUGCAACUCGACUGCAUGAAGCCGGAGUUGCUAGUAACCGCAGGUCAGCAAUACUGCGGUGAAUACGUUCCCGGGUCUU